GAAAAUGAAAAACAAUUCAAGUAUAGAUUACUAAAAACAUAUCCCAUGGUAAAACCAAGGGAACAAGCACACGAAUUUCACAGUGAAUAAAUUUCUACUCAAAACAACACGCUUACAUUCAUAUUAAAAGAACAAUAUAACUUCUAGUGGAUGCACAUUUGAUUUUUCUAAUACAACACAGACUUGCGUGAAAUUCACAACUAACAUCUAGAACAACAGAUUUUUGCACUGCUACCAUAGCAUGCAGCUUAAAAUGUUCGAAAAGUAAAAAAUCUAAUAGCAUCCAACAGCAGUUCAAAACCAUGUUUUAUUUAGUCAAUGUAGGUGAACGUUACUGUAGAUC
rnacentral:lncRNA from 1 species